rnacentral:rRNA from 1 species
UGGGGAAUAUUGGGCAAUGGGCGCAAGCCUGACCCAGCCAUGCCGCGUGAGUGAUGAAGGCCUUCGGGUCGUAAAGCUCUGUGGGGAGGGACGAAAAGCCCUGACCUAAUACGUCAGGGGUUGACGGUACCUCCUUAGCAAGCACCGGCUAACUCCGUGCCAGCAGCCGCGGUAAUACGGAGGGUGCAAACGUUGCUCGGAAUUAUUGGGCGUAAAGCGCACGUAGGCGGUCGCGUAAGUCGGGUGUGAAAGCCCAGGGCUUAACCCUGGAAGUGCAUUCGAAACUGCACGGCUUGAGUACGGAAGAGGGUCUCGGAAUUCCCGGUGUAGAGGUGAAAUUCGUAGAUAUCGGGAGGAACACCAGUGGCGAAGGCGGAGACCUGGGCCGAUACUGACGCUGAGGUGCGAAAGCGUGGGGAGCAAACAGG